GACCUCAAGCCAUCGUGUCUAAGGUCAAGUUAAGUCCCGAGUCUUUAACUUCCAAGUCCAAGUCAAGUCCCGAUUCUGUCAUAUUUUUUCAAGUCAAGUUUCAAAUUAUCAAAACAGCGACUUGGAGCCGACUCGAGUCCAAGUCACAAUGACUCGAGUCCCCAUCUCUAAAACACGCGUCCAUGUUUUUAUUCUGACUGUUCUGUAUGCGAUGAGAAAUUAUUCAAUUAGUAUGUUCGGAUGUGACUGUUUGAUUUUGACAGAAGAAUUCAAGCAGCAACCCUCAGUUGUCAGCAAUAAAACCAAUGCAAAAGUGUGUAACUGCAGUUCCAAGAGUGUCCACUAGAGGCUGGUUGCAAAAGCACCUAAAGCCACAUACACAUCCAAUCAAAAAAGGCUCAUUUUUAAAGUAGAAAUAAACAUGUUUACAGCCAGGUUCUGGUUUGAGUAGCUUGUUUCUCUUUGGCAGCUAACUACAAAAUCGAGGUUAUGAGUUUUUUCCUGAUCAGGGGUUUAAUGUUGAUUGUUUGGAGAGAACAGAGAAAUGUGUGUCAGCUCUGGUGGAAACUGUCAGAUAAGUGUGUUUGGGUUAUUUCAGAGGAUCUUCGGUUCUUCUUGGAUGUGGGCGCUGAUGUUUGUGAGGGAGUGAGAUGUUUGUUUUUCUGCGCAGCUCUGUGCCUGCAAGGUGUGUGUUAGAGCAGAUGUUAUUCCUGCUCCCUCGGUGUGUGUGUGUGUGUGUGUGUGUGUGUGUGUGUGUGUGUGUGUGUGUGUGUGUGUGUGUGUGUGUGUGUGUGUGUGUGUGUGUGUGUGUGCGCAGAGGAUCACAGAGGAUUGAUGGAAACUUCAGUGAUUUCUGGCUCCGCUGAGAUGAAGAGUCCUGAGUGCAGCGAAGAGAGAAUGAGAUUACAGCUGGCAGAUUUCCUAAGAUAAUUAUUCAAUUUAAAGACAUUUUUGUGAGCAGAAGAAUCUUCUUCUUUCUGGAAAGGGAAAGGGCGAGGUACAGUUGAAACUUAAAGGGCCUUCUUUUUUAAUAGAUUUGACUUUUGCUUUGUUUCUCAAAAGAAAUUUGCUUGCUGAAAUCUGGAGCAAAAUGCAACGAAAUGUUAAAAAAGUAAAGAUUGAAGAUUUUGGCCAGAAGAGUCGUAGGCUGCAGUUCCUCUGAUGACCACUAGAGGCCAAAAAAAGUAAGUGGAAGUGAUAAUAUGAGCUGCAACAUCCCUGAAUGUUCCUCUAAAAGCUGCUCAAGCGCGCUUGGCUCGCACUGUGGACUUGAGUACCCUGGGUGAGAUGGUCCAGCUUUUGUGAAUUGGGACGGUCUACCCUUUGGAGGACUUCCUGGUUGGGUCGCCAAUUGUCCCCACCCUCAGGCUCACGUCACGAUUGACUUGAAGAAAAGCGGCGGAGCUGUGCAACACCACUCAGGGACAGUUGCACACAUUUCAUCUAAUGAUUGCAUAUUUUGUAUGGAGUAUGAGGGCCAUAUUGAGAUUUUUUUUUAAAGACUUUGAGAUCAAAGUCAUUUAUUUAUGAGAAUAAAGUUGUCAAGUUACCUGUUAUUUUAAAGGAGAGUUGUUAAAAUCAGGGCCAUGAAGCAUUUGAAGGAACUGUGCUUCAGUAUAGGUUUCACAAACGAGGAGAUACUUCAUCCUCCAAUUAGGAGAUACUUCAACAUUAGCAUUACAUUGUCAUAAGUAUAAAGACUUUAAAAAGAAUAUACGAGAAAAGGGUCUUUUCCACAGGGGAAAAAAAAAAACUGGUGUACUUGAAGGAAAUCGCUGCUUUAGUGGUGGCAGAAAUGAGGAUAAAUCAGUCAAUGUAGCCGUAAAUAGCCGUGAAUGACAUUGAGCUUUAGUUUAUGAUAUGCAUCUAUAUGCCAUAACAAGGUGUUGGUGUCUCUGCAGGUGUAGGCUACCGCCGGUAACAAAUGUUGAUCAUCAUCAGUUUGAUUGUUUCUUCAGAAACAACAAAAACUCUCUUAAUGACCCACUGAUACAUUCACAGAUAACCCUGCAGUUGACCAGUUCCAGCAAUUUCCCCCUCCACAAAAGCAGCUUUAUGACUUUAUUUACUUUGUGACUUAAUUUUUCUAAAUUCACAACUUUAAUCUCUAAGUCUUUAAAAUCCUUAAAGUGGCCCUGAUACUCCAAUGUAGUUUUGUCAGCUUUCUCGUUUUUAAUGUUUUUGAUUUUGGUAACAGAGCGGAUCAGUUCUUUUCUAAAGACUAUAAUGUUUGGUUGCAGCUGCAGAUUUUAGUGAGUUCAGAGAUCAUGCUCUCAUACAGCCUGAGCUGACUGUCUGCUGUUUUUGGAUUUAUUCUAUUUUCUUUGAAGAUGCGCUGCAUCUCCAAGCGAGUCCGGCUUUUCACCUGUAAUGCGCAGCUGUGCAGCGGCACUUGGUAUUCUGGGAUACCAAGGCCACAAAAGUGAGCAUAAAUGCACGCUUGAAAAAGGGGCGGGGGUAGUGUGGUUUUGGGACCACAUAUUAAGCGUGCUCAAGAACCUAAUGGGACACCCUUCGCGCCGCGUGAUGAUGUCAUGCACCCUUGAAAUCCGCCGUUCGACAGUGAAGACCCUGACUUGAGACACAGCUUCUGUUUCCCUCCUUUUCUCAGUGUUUUAUUCUUUAGAUCAGUUUUCAGUGUUUCCUGUUUUAUUUUGUAGUAGUCAAUCCUUGUGUGUGUAGUCUAGUUUUACUUCUAACUUAUUGCACUCACUUACAAAAAUAAAAAGAAAGUUUUUUUUCUUUGCUGUGUUUCAGACAUUUUUUUUCUUCUUCCUUUUUUUCUGACUAUUUUUUUCUUCUGUUUUUUUGUACUAAAUUUUUUCCCCUCUUUCUGUUUUUAGGACAAUUUUUUUCUUUUUUUUUUUUGUUUUGUUUACGUCUUUCUGUUUUCCAGACACCUUUUUUUUCCUGACUCAAUGAGAUACUUCAAAAUCCUGCGAGAAUCACAUACAAUCAGAUAACGUUAACCACUGUUGCUACUUCAAAUCAGCGGAUUCUCCAGCUCCCAGAUAACUUUGACUUCGGGGUCGAUGAGAGUAAAGCAUAUUAUUAGUUAAACAUAGGGUAUGCAAAUCCUGAGGUGCCUACACAAAGUAGACAAACUUCUGAUGAUUCAAUCUAUCUGACUUAAAGAGAGGAGUAUCUCUGAGUGUCUCACAAAAGAAAGUAAAACUUGACUAAAAAAAAUUAGUCCAAAAAACAGAAAAGGAAAAAAGAAAACAGUCUAAAAAAAACAAACAAACAAAAAAAAAUCUUUUUUGACAGAUCUAUAAAAAUGGCAGCAUAAUGCCUCUUCUGUCAUGUUGUCAUAUUGUAAAAUUAAUACAUUUGCAGUGUUUUUCAAUCUCUGUGCAUUUCUGUUUUUGUGUUUGUUCUCUACAUGUCUGACUCUGCAGCACUGAUCUUUUGGACCACUGUAAUUGUUUUACAUUAGCACAUUACUUUAACCUUGACAGUAACAUGCUCUAGUCUUGGCAGGUGAAGAAAAUGUGCAGAGCUCUGGAAAGCGUCCAAAAGUCCUCUCAGAGAGUUGCGAAAUGAACUCCCCCUUUUUUUUUUUCAGGAAACCUUUCAGGAGAAACAAAAAAGUCUUAUGUUUGAGUGACACACAUCAGGUUGCCUCCGGCUCCAGGUCGAGCUUUUACACGAGGUCAGGACUCUACCGGCGAUGAGAACAUGAGUGGAGGUUUUGUUGUAAAGGCCGACACAUGUUCAUGCUCAGAAAUCUGUUCAGAGGUGAGCAGGUCGUCGAGGAUUUCCCAUGCAGACUGUUUUCUUUUCUUGUCCUUGGGUUGUAAAGCUGAUUUUUCUUGGUGUGAGGAGGUUUUAUUUCUUUCUCUACACCUGUUUGUUCUUCUUCUUCUCUGUGAGGCUGAAAUGGAGCAGUGCGAGGAUAAAUCUGCAGGGAUGGAGCUUCUCUGCUCUCUGAAAACAGUCCUGAGGGGAGGGAGGAUGAAGAUCUGAUCCUUUUACCUUCUGCUGCAGAGUCAGCCUCCUCUCUGCAGAUGUUGAGGAUUUCGCCUCCUAACAUGCGGGUGUCAGGCUUCCCCUGGUGUUUACGUAACCAGCCCCAAGCCGGCUGAACGUCAGUCCAAGCAGGUCGUCACCAGAUCUUAGAAAGUCGCCCUGAAAACAUACGAGAGCCACAUGUGUGACUGAGAGAUUUACAGCGUGUGGACAGGCAGGAAAACUCUCACAGGUUCUUUUAUUACCUCUUUCUUUCAGUGCGUCUCGCUCUCACGGGCUUACAGUCAGAUUUAUUCACGCACACACACGCAGUCUGUCCCGUAGAGUCAGUGUGUUCACAGGUGGGUCGCAGCACCUGGUCAGACCCACAGGCUCCCCUCAUCCUCAUUUCCACCAUGUGUAAAAACAGUAACAUCUGUUUGAAUGGAGCUUUAACAUGAUCAAAAUAAAACCUGAGUCAGGAUGGAAAUAUUUGGGAUGUUUUAUCAGGUAAAAGUGCAGGAAGUGUCGAAUCUCUGCAGCAGAUUGUUUCAGCCUGCGGCAGAGAAUCAGGCUCGCUUUAGCAGCUUCACUUAUUUCCUUACAUUUGAAAGUAGGGGAGACUGGGGACAGUUGCAACACUUUUUGCUUUUUUCUCAAUUACUCAGAGAUGAUUUGGACAAGGCCAACCAUUUAUUUAAAUAGUAAAUUUACAUCUGUCCUCUAAUUCUCCAUACUAUUUCAAUAUGAUUACAUCAGACAGAUUUUUCACAAAAUUCAUUCAAAAAAAAAGUCACAGUUGCAACACACCUGAUUCAAAUGAUCAGCUCGUUAUCAAGCUCUGUAGUGGCUUACUAACGAGCUAAUCAUUUGAAUCAGGUGUGUUGGAGCAGGGAAAAAUCCAAAACAUGCACGACAGUGGACCUCAAGGACUAGACUUGAAAACCAUUGCGUUAACUAAACACACUGUUUUUAACAAAUGCUAACCAUGUAACUUAGAAAUCAACUAAACAAUGAAUAAAACUAAACUGUGAUUAAUUCAUGCAAACAGUCAGGACAGGAUGACAAAAAUAAACCCAUACAUCUUCUACCGCUUAUUCCCGUUGGGGGUUGCGGGGGGGCUGGAGCCUAUCCCAGCAUCUAUAUAUCUAAGGGCUGACAUAUUGAGAUGAACAACCAUUCAUACUCAAAUUGUGGGAGGAAACCGGAGUUCCCGGAGUAAACCCACGCAGACACAGGGAGAACUCCACACAGAAACACCCUGACUGAGGUUCGAACCCAGGACCUUUUUUGCUGUGAGGUGACAGUGCUAACCACUACACCACUGUGCUGCCCGACAAAAACAAACCACAUGAAAAAAAUUACUUUCAUACAUCAAAAACAAGUUUUUUUCCAAUGAAUCCAGAAGACGAUCUAAAUGUGUCUUCUGUCCUGCUGGUGUGGGGGAGGGUCCAUCUGAGCAUCUGCAGUGUCAGUGUCAUCAAUCUAGCAUGUUUCUGAUUGGAGGAAUAAGCCUUGUUGCAACCGUACCCAGUCUCCCCUACUUUUUUUUAUUUAAAUGAAGGAUUUUGGCAAAAGAAGGGAAAAUAAUUGACUCAGGGAUGCCAGAAUUCUUUGGUAGCAGAUGAAACGAGAGGCAUUUCUCAGACUUUUGUACUUCUUUCCACAAACAUAUAAAUAAGAUAAAAAUCUGAAUAUAUCUUUUAACUACAGUCGUUUCUCCAAAGCAGGAAACUUUUUUUUUUUCUGUGAACUCUCUGAAAGUGUUUGUCGUGAUGUGAGAUGGUUUAUGUCUAAAUGAUCUGGAUACAUAGAGCAGUUGUAGUUAUAUAUGGUUAAAGUCGUAAAAACAGAAAGCAGCCGCAGCAUCUCAAGAUCAGAGAAAGUCUCUGUUCUGGUUGUUUCUGUCUGAUUAAAGCGACCACACUUCCUCUGCUGAUAGAAAGUCUCUCUCGACUGCGGCCUUUCUCUCUGGUUUUUAUAGAUCUCCUCUCAGGCUGGUCCUACUUUUUGCAGUGGAGGCAGAUUCCUGUGGUGUGUGACCCUCUCAUCACCGACCAAACCUCACUAAAGGAAUCCUCGUUUUACAGAGGAAAGAUGCAGAACUCAGCAAAAUAAUCCCGAUUAAAAAAACUCAAGAGAUCAAUGAAGUUUGCAGCCCGUCCGCUGUAAUGCGGCUUUUCAUUUCCUGCGUUUUGCAUGUGUUAUGUGAUGCUACUGUUAAAACACCUUUGCAGACUAAAAGACGGGGGCCUAAGAGGUGUUAAAGUGCAGCGUUUGCUCUGUUCCCUGCGGAGAGGGGGGCUGGAUCCUGCAGGUGAAGCCCUCUCAUUAACACUGACUCAUAUCUGCACUGGAAAAAAGAGCAUGCACAGGCACAUACGGACUCUCAGAGGGAUAAAAACAUGGAGUCACACAUUAAAAAAGCAGAAGUGAACAGCCGGAGGGAAGUUCCAGGGUGUCAUUUCAUGGAGCAGCAGCAGAUCUGAUUUUAUGGCGCUUUAUUUCUGCCAUGAGCUCAUGAUUCGGAUAUUUCAGCUCGCUGAUGUUAGAUUCCUGAUCGUCGUUCUUCAAACAUCUCCUGAGCUGUUAGCUUUGGCCCCAUGAGCUCCUCCUUUCCUUCCUCUCCUUCCCUAGAAAUCUCCAUCACACGUUCCCGACGCCGUCCUCAGAGUCCCUCUUUGUGGCAUAUUUAGUUUGGAGGUCAAGGGUCACAGAGGGACGGUUAGCUGAGGGCUGAGAGCCUCCACAUCCAUCAGAGUGUGGCUGAUAGCACACCUGCACCAAAACCACAUCAGAGGAAGACCGAUGAGAAAGAGAGAGAGACUGUGUAUCAUCAGAGCAGCACAGAGGAGGUUUUAUCUGCAGGAUGGAUGUUUGAAAAAGUUCCUGAAACUUUCUGCAGAGGAGUACAGAUCGGAUACUUCCGAACAUUCCCUUGAAUUCCACUUUAUCCAAAGAUUAUUUCUCCUUACAAGGUUUUCUUGCUGAGUGCAUGUAAGUGCACAGUGUCACAGUGUUGGUGGAAAGUGAGGUGCAAAGUCCAAAAAGUAUCUUAUUUUCCUGCGAAAGUUCCUUCACUGUCAGGGGGAGCUGCAUGGACACAGAUUCAUUUUCUUGCAGCCUCUCUGGAAGUCAGGGUAAAAGUCAGGCUAAAUAACAAGCUAAUCCAAAUAAUCUACCUUGAGCUCUCUGUGCACAGAUGAAACAGUAGGGGAGACUGGGGACAGUUGCUACACUUUUUGCUAUUCUCUCAGUUACUCAGAGAUGAUUUGGACUAGGCCAACCAUUUAUUUAUAGAGUAAAUUUACAUCUGUCCUUUCAUUCGCCAUUCCGUUUAAAUCUGAUUACAUGAUACAGAUUUUCAUUAUAUUCAUUAAAAAAGUCAACUGUUGCAACCAACCCCAUCCCUGGGACGGUUGCAACAUGUAAUAAAUCCAUUCAAUUUCCAUUUUAUUUUUGUCUCAAUGAGCAUAUUGGUCUGAGAAUAUGUAUUAUUUAUGAUAUUUAUGAUUGACGAUAAUGUAAUUACAAAAUGUUAUAGUAUUCUUUAUUCAUUAAUCUAAUAUACAAGAUUGAGUUUUGUUUCUUUUGCAUAAAACAUGGCCUACUUUGAAUCAAUGUGCAGAUGUUACAGAUUUCAAUGUUUGUAAGUAGAUUGUAGAUUUUACCAAGAUACAAAUACAAAUCUUGAUGCUAAUGUAACAUUGAGUAUCAUGCAACACUAGUGUUGCAACUGUACCCAAGUGGUCAGCCAUGACAAAACACCAUGUGUUAACUAAACAGACAGUUUUUAACAAAUGCUAACCAUGUAACUUA